GCCUACCUGUAAUGUUCGUCUGUGAUGGAAGAAGAGGAGGACCAAUGCGCAGCGUGGACAGAGACGGGACUAACGUGGGUCCUCUGGGGUGCUUCAACAACCUCAUGAUGCUGACAAGGCAGAGAAGAGUCACUCCACAUUAGAACACCUCAAGAAACAUCUGCAGAGAUCCACAGGGAAGAGAACUCUCUGCUCCUCUGACUGUGGGAAGAGAUUCACCUCCUCAGCAGGCAUUAAAAUUCAUCAGAGAACACACACAGGAGAGAACCCUUAUUGCUGUACUCAAUGUGGGAAGAGUUUUACUCAUUCACACAGCCUGAUAUCACACCAGAGAACACACACAGGAGAGAAAUCUUAUAGCUGUGAUCAAUGUAGGACGAGUUUUGCUGCAUCCAGCAAUCUGACAUUACACAAGAGAGAAACCUUAUAGCUAUGGUCAAUGUGGGAAAAGUUUUGGUCAAUCUGGCCACCUGACAGUACACCAGAGAACACACACAGGAGAGAAAUCUCAAGGCUGUGACCAGAGAUAAUCUGAUAAAUGAUCUCUGAUCAAAUAUUAGAAAAUAUAUACAUGGAGUUUUUUCGUGAUUUCAAUUAGUUAAUGUCACAGCAUUGUAUUAGGAGUAUUUUAAUAGUGUCACAAUGUAGAAGCCUAAACUUUUACCACCUUAUCAAUUGAUUUCAGCAUGAUAUGGAUAUUAGCCUCAGGGGGAAAAUCCGGGCUCUGAAAUGGAAGUGUACUAUUUAUGUGAUUUAACAAAAAUUGACUAACAAAAAUGAAUUGUAUUACACUUACCACGUUGGCGACCCACUUGAAUCAAAAUGUAGCUAGCUGUUUUCUACAAAUUGUCCUCUAACCAGGGAUGUACACAUUACUCCCAGAUUCCGUGUGUUUUUUGAGCUGUUCGUUUUAACAGGCCGUGC